rnacentral:rRNA from 1 species
GACGAACGCUGGCGGCGCGCUUAACACAUGCAAGUCGAGCGAAGCGGCGGACGGGUGAGUACCACGUGAGUAACCUGCCUUAGACAUUGGGAUAGCCUCGGGAAACCGGGAUUAAUACCAAAUGGUCUAAGAUGGACUCGCGUCCCAUUAGCUAGUUGGUGGGUAACGGCCCACUAAGGCGACGAUGGGUAGGCGGCCUGAGAGGGUGAACGGCCACACUGGAACUGAGAAACGGUCCAAACUCUACGGGAGGGAGCAGUGGGGAAUAUUGCACAAUGGAGGGAACGCGGAUGCAGCGAGGGCGCGUAAGCGAAGAAGGCUGUCGAGUCGUAAAGUUCUUUUAUAUGGGAAGCGGUACCAUAAGAAAAAGCCCCGGCUAACUACGUGCCAGCAGCCGCGGUAAUAC